CCCCUCAGGUCUGCAGCUGGCCUCACUGCCUCUAUCUCUAUCACACAGAAUGGGUCUGCCCCUCAGGUCUGCAGCUGGCCUCACUGCCUCUAUCUCUAUCACACAGAAUGGGUCUGCCCCUCAGGUCUGCAACUGGCCUCACUGCCUCUAUCUCUAUCACACAGAAUGGGUCUGCCCCUCAGGUCUGCAACUGGCCUCACUGCCUCUAUCUCUAUUACACAGAAUGGGUCUGCCCCUCAGGUCUGCAGCUGGCCUCACUGCCUCUAUCUCCUGAAGCAGGCCUAGGUAACAGAUUAGAAUCCCAUCACACAGUCUACCUGAAGCAGGCCUAGGUAACAGAUUAGAAUCCCAUCACACAGUCUACCUGAAGCAGGUCUAGGUAACAGAUUAGAAUCCCAUCACACAGUCUACCUGAAGCAGGCCUAGGUAACAGAUUAGAAUCCCAUCACACAGUCUACCUGAAGCAGGCCUAGGUAACAGAUUAGAAUCCCAUCACACAGUCUACCUGAAGCAGGCCUAGGUAACAGAUUAGAAUCCCAUCACACAGUCUACCUGAAGCAGGCCUAGGUAACAGAUUAGAAUCCCAUCACACAGUCUACCUGAAGCAGGCCUAGGUAACAGAUUAGAAUCCCAUCACACACAGUCUACCUGAAGCAGGCCUAGGUAACAGAUUAGAAUCCCAUCACACAGUCUACCUGAAGCAGGCCUAGGUAACAGAUUAGAAUCCCAUCACACAGUCUACCUGAAGCAGGCCUAGGUAACAGAUUAGAAUCCCAUCACACAGUCUACCUGAAGCAGGUCUAGGUAACAGAUUAGAAUCCCAUCACACAGUCUACCUGAAGCAGGCCUAGGUAACAGAUUAGAAUCCCAUCACACAGUCUACCUGAAGCAGGCCUAGGUAACAGAUUAGAAUCCCAUCACACAGUCUACCUGAAGCAGGCCUAGGUAACAGAUUAGAAUCCCAUCACACAGUCUACCUGAAGCAGGCCUAGGUAACAGAUUAGAAUCCCAUCACACAGUCUACCUGAAGCAGGUCUAGGUAACAGAUUAGAAUCCCAUCACACAGUCUACCUGAAGCAGGCCUAGGUAACAGAUUAGAAUCCCAUCACACAGUCUACCUGAAGCAGGUCUAGGUAACAGAUUAGAAUCCCAUCACACAGUCUACCUGAAGCAAGCCUAGGUAACAGAUUAGAAUCCCAUCACACAGUCUGGUAGGAAGGAGUGGUGGAGGGAUGGACGCCACUCAGACAGACAGACUCUGUUUUUUAAUGACCUGUGUGUUUGAUGAGGUGUGACCACGAGGGAGGGUUUGGAAGGAGCCAGGAUAGGCAGAAGUUAGUAGCUGUCGUGUGUGUGUGUGUUCUCUCUCCAGUGUCUGGUUGUGUGUGUG